AGAUGAACUCUGAGCCUGUUAAGGAACUCAGGUAUCAAUACGUCCAGAGAGUCAUGGAGCUUGAAGCCAGUGAAGAUGAACACACAGUUGGGUGAGGCCAGUUUCAACUUGGAAAAAAGAUGCCGCUGUGGAAGAAAUGUGAUUGGGAAGAGGGCAACUGCAAAUGUUCCAGGCCAGAGGGGGCUAACAUUACCAUGUCAGCAGCAAUAUCUAAUGACAGACUGCAGCUGCAGAAGGCCAUCAUUGGCCCAUACAAUACAGCACACCUUAUUGUUUUUCUUGAUGAAUUGUAUGGAAAACUUUCAGCAGCAAGAGAGAGGCAGAAUUUACCAGUAUUUGUGAUUGUGUGGGACAAUGUGGCCUUUCAUCAUUCCCGCUAACUUACUGAGUUGCUUACUGCCCAUCCCAGGAUAAUGUCAUUAUUCUUGCCACCAUACUCUCCAUUGCUCAACCCCAUUGAAGAUUUUUUUCUGCAUGGAGAUGGAAAGUAUAUGACCAUCGCCCACAUGAUCAGAUGUCGCUAUUAGAUGCAAUGGCUGCUGGGUGUAUGGACAUUCAUGUGGAGGACAUCCAGAGCUGGAUUAGGCACUCAAAGAGAUUUUUUCCCUCGGUGUAUUGCAAGAGAAAAUGUUUGGUGUGAUGUCGAUGAAAAUUUAUGGUCAAAUGCAGAGGACCAAAUGGAUUAGGCCAGGUCAACAGUAUACUUGACUGAAUAUAGUGAACGUUUACUAUU